AGAGUUUGAUCCUGGCUCAGGACGAACGCUGGCGGCACGCUUAACACAUGCAAGUCGAACGAGAGAAGAGGAGCUUGCUUUUCUGAUCUAGUGGCGGACGGGUGAGUAACACGUGAGCAAUCUGCCUUUCAGAGGGGGAUACCGAUUGGAAACGAUCGUUAAUACCGCAUAACAUAAUUGAACCGCAUGAUUUGAUUAUCAAAGAUUUAUCGCUGAAAGAUGAGCUCGCGUCUGAUUAGCUAGUUGGUAAGGUAACGGCUUACCAAGGCGACGAUCAGUAGCCGGACUGAGAGGUUGAUCGGCCACAUUGGGACUGAGACACGGCCCAGACUCCUACGGGAGGCAGCAGUGGGGAAUAUUGCACAAUGGAGGAAACUCUGAUGCAGCGAUGCCGCGUGAGGGAAGAAGGUUUUAGGAUUGUAAACCUCUGUCUUCAGGGACGAAAAAAGACGGUACCUGAGGAGGAAGCUCCGGCUAACUACGUGCCAGCAGCCGCGGUAAUACGUAGGGAGCGAGCGUUGUCCGGAAUUACUGGGUGUAAAGGGAGCGUAGGCGGGAUCGCAAGUCAGAUGUGAAAACUAUGGGCUUAACCCAUAAACUGCAUUUGAAACUGUGGUUCUUGAGUGAAGUAGAGGUAAGCGGAAUUCCUAGUGUAGCGGUGAAAUGCGUAGAUAUUAGGAGGAACAUCAGUGGCGAAGGCGGCUUACUGGGCUUUAACUGACGCUGAGGCUCGAAAGCGUGGGGAGCAAACAGGAUUAGAUACCCUGGUAGUCCACGCCGUAAACGAUGAUUACUAGGUGUGGGGGGACUGACCCCUUCCGUGCCGCAGCAAACGCAAUAAGUAAUCCACCUGGGGAGUACGACCGCAAGGUUGAAACUCAAAGGAAUUGACGGGGGCCCGCACAAGCAGUGGAGUAUGUGGAUUAAUUCGAAGCAACGCGAAGGACCUUACCAGGUCUUGACAUCGUAUGCAUAGCUCAGAGAUGAGUGAAAUCUCUUCGGAGACAUAUAGACAGGUGGUGCAUGGUUGUCGUCAGCUCGUGUCGUGAGAUGUUGGGUUAAGUCCCGCAACGAGCGCAACCCUUACUGUUAGUUGCUACGCAAGAGCACUCUAGCAGGACUGCCGUUGACAAAACGGAGGAAGGUGGGGAUGACGUCAAAUCAUCAUGCCCCUUAUGACCUGGGCCUCACACGUACUACAACGGCUGUCAACAGAGGGAAGCAAAGCCGCGAGGUGGAGCGAACCCCUAAAAGCAGUCUUAGUUCGGAUUGUAGGCUGCAACCCGCCUACAUGAAGUCGGAAUUGCUAGUAAUCGCAGAUCAGCAUGCUGCGGUGAAUACGUUCCCGGGCCUUGUACACACCGCCCGUCACGCCAUGGGAGUCGGUAACACCCGAAGCCUGUAGUCUAACCGCAAGGAGGACGCAGUCGAAGGUGGGAUUGAUGACUGGGGUGAAGUCGAAACAAGGUA
rnacentral:rRNA from 1 species